rnacentral:lncRNA from 1 species
CCCUUACAUUUCUUCUCUUGUCUUUCUCUCUUGAUUUAUUUAUUUAUUUUUAAUCUCUGUAUCUUGUUCUUCUUCCUUCCUCACUUUUCAUCUUUUGCUUUGACUUCCUUUCUCCUUCCCUUCGUCGCCCACAAUCUGUGGUUGAGUGACAGCAACCAAAAUUUCUUCUGUUCUUUCCCAAUCUGCUGAUCCCAUCUUCCUCAUAACAUGGUUGGCGACAUCAUAAUCUCCUCUCCUCUUGCUUGGUAUUGCCAGCUUGGCUUGCCAAGGUGAUCAAUCUUUUUAUGUAUAACUAUGUUCUUUCUCUUCUCUUUCUCCUUACUGUUCGCCUGUGUUCUUCUUCCUCUUCUUCUUCUUCUUCUUCUUCUUCUUCUUCUUCUUCUUCUUCUUCUUCUUCUUCCCGUCGUCCUUCUCUCUUCCUCUUUCUCUA